CUUUUUCCUCUUAUGUGAUUUGUCUUGUACAGAGAAGACAGAAAACCAGUCCAGACCACAUACCAGCUGAGGGGGCAGCAUACCUUACAAGCCAUCUUUAAAAAAUAACGUAAGUUUAUCCCAUGCCAUAUUUUUUUUUUGUUUUGAUCAAAAUUACUUCACUGUAAAUAUUAUUAUUUUAAGAUUGUCUUCACUUGUUAACUUUUUUGUCACCCACAUUAUUUGUCCUUUACAGAAAGGAAACAAGUCGAGACCAGACUGGAGGUGUAUAGAUAAUGUCUGAAAUCAGCGUGUUCGUUUUUGUGGUCAGUUGGAGUGGAACAUGAAGCUGUGGUGGCCUCACUGUGAAGCUCUCAUCGCCUACCUGAUGACCUACAGUCACACUAAGAGACCAGAGCUGCUGGAGAGAUUCUCUCAGGUGUAUGAGUACACCUUCAGUCACGUGAGUUAUUACUGAGGGAAACGUACCCAAGGAAAAAUCUCAUGCUACACCUCUGAAGUGUUUGUCAACAAAUGACCGUCACGAUGACUUGUAACUUUUGAAGCCUCACUUAAGAAGCACUGAAAUAUUCCUUUAAUGUUCAUAUUGUAGAAACAUUGGGUAGAAUAGAAAAGAAAAGAAGUUGUAGAGAAGAAAAAAGAUGUUAAAAUAGACGAAAAAGAGAUGCCAAAAAUAGAAUAGCAGAGACUAGUAAUAGGAGUGUGCUACAUAACCGUGCAAGAUUAACGAAGACAGGGCCCAUAUCUUCUUAACGGUAAGACAAUGUGUAAAUUAGUGACUAAUGUGAACGUCUAGCUCAAAAAGGAUAGUCGAAUUCGGGGCGUGGAAAGAAAAAGUGAGGAGUAAAACCCGGAGCCCAGGGUAAUUGGCAAAUAAAUGAUGAAAAGAGAUAAAGAGUAAAAGAGACAAAGUGAAAAAGAGAAAAAGGCUGAGAUGGCCCAGGAAUAGAGAAGAAAAAGGCUGAGAUGGCCGAAAAAGAGAAAAAGUUAACUUAAUGUUAGGGACGACGCGAUUGGGCAUACAAACCGGUGAGGACAGUUUAAAGAAGAAAAAAGGCCUAUAUACUAUAGUAAGGAAACACUGAGCUCAGUGAGAAGAGGUGUGCUGAAAUUUGAGUGUGUGAGAGAAGCUUCUGGUGUGUGUGUGUGUGUGUGUGUGCGUGCGUGCGUGCGCGCGCGCGUGUGUGUGUACACAAAGUUGGGGAAUGAUCUAGCAUAGGUUUAAGUGAUUAACUUAUGAUAAAGUGAUAAAUGAUGUCUUAUUAAAUAUAUAAUGAUAUGAUAUAAGAAAUUACCAUAUAAGGGAAGAGAUACUGAUGCCUUUGUAGUGCUAAAAAAAACAUAUGAGCCCUGGUUUCUUUGUACAGGGACGUUAAUAGAAUAGGUAACUGCUAUGAGCCUCUCAGGAUAAAGAGGACGUUUGUACACCUAAUAGUAAGAAAUGAGCCCCUUAUUAGAUGAGGAGGACUUUGGAUGGUGAUAACAUGCUCGAUUAAAAUGACAAUUAAAGAAGUGUACACAAGCACAUUUUUGUUCAUACAGAUACAGGAAAAAACAGAGUAAAAGAUUGGAAUGAUUUGCUGACUGAUGGGUGUGGUUUCCCUCUGUGUGUGUGUGAAUAUUUAAAGUGAAUGGUCACUUGCUGAUGAUCAUGUUUAGAGGGAAGUCCUAGUUAAAAAUUGGAAAAAUCCAGGAAGCUUUUCCUCCCUCUUUCUUUCUCUUCUUACAGGCCUGAGAACAGAAAGAAAGCUAAAAAAUCUAGUUUAACUAUCCUAGUUGCGUGAAAAUUUUAAAUGAUAUACCAUGAUAAGGGGAUUGGGGUAUAAUAAAUUUAGGUAGUCUUAUGGUAGAAGAAAUCUUUAAAUAGUGGUAGUAAACGUUUUAAAUUGUAUUGAAUGAAGUGAUUGUAAUGUACUAAACAUUUGAUUUGUCUUUCGUCCCUAACUCUGAUGCAUGAGAGGGGAGAGGAGAAUGAAAGGAGUCUGACGUUGGAGCUCCCAUGAGACAGAUAAGAAGAUAAUUGGCUGUGCUGCAAACAAGAGGGGGCUUGCGGAUGAGAGGCUCACCAGGUCCUGCUCCCAUUUGACAGGCCAGUACAGUUUUGUCUACAAACUCUUCUCCGAUGUGUCUGCUGCUACUUAGUUGUACAUACACACAUUAAUAGUGGGAACACAUUUAGUUGGGUGUAUAUAUUUGUUAGUGCUAGACAAUGAGAGCAGUAGUUUUGUUGGUAAAAAGAAAGGCUUGGCAAUAGAAAUAUUGCAUAACCAGAUUUAUUAACCCAGUCUGUUAAUGUUCACUUUUAAUUCAUAGAUGAUUGAACCAAAAAAAUAGUAAUUUACUUUUUUAUCUUUGGAUUUACUGAGAAAACUGUUCUGCUCACAGCUGUGGUCAAUUUACUCAUGUUGUAUUUUAUUUGUCAUUUCAUUUUAGAGAGGAGAUGAAACCAGACCAGAUGAUAGCAGACCAGACCAGAGAGGAGCUGAGGGGGCAGCCUGCAUCACAAACUAUCUUCAAAAGAAAGGUACGUUUUUUUUUUAAAUUCCACCUUAUUUACUGGUAACUGUUACAUUAUUUUACAAGUAUCUGAAAAUUUUAAUUAACCUUCCCUUUUUUUCUCUCCAAGUUAUUUGUCUGUUAUAGAAAUGAAACAAGCCUAGACCAAACUGGAGAAGACCAGAGUGGACCAGAUGAUAGCAGACCAGACCAGAGAGGAGCUGAGGGGACAGCCUGCAUCGCAAACUAUCUUAAAAAAAAGGUACAUAUAUUUUAUUCUAACUGCUCUUAUUGGUAACUGUUUCAUUAUUCUACAAGUGUCUGAAGUUCUUUAUUAAUUUUUUUGUCUCCAAAUUUAUUUGUCUUUUAUGGAAAGGAAACAAGCCCAGACCAGACUGGAGGAGACCAGACCAGACCAGAUGAUAGCAGACCAGACCAGAGAGGAGCUGAGGGGACAGCCUGCAUCGCAAACCAUCUUUAAAAAAAAGAUACAUUAACUUUAUUCUAAUAUAUUAUUCUAAUUCAUUUCCGGAUUUAUAUUUAAAUUUAGGAUUCAAAUGUUAGUAUUUAAGGUUAAGUAAUGCUUCUACUAUUACAAUUACUUAUACUUUUACUCUGGAAUUUAUUUGUGUGUCAUAUAGUGGAGAAGACAGAAGCCAGACUAGACCAGAGACCAAGACUGGAGAACAGAGUGGAGACCAGAUGAGUCCAGACCAGAGAAGAGCUGAGGGGGCAGCCGACAUCGCAAACUGACAAAAAAAAAAAAGAUAAAUAUAUUUUAUCCUUAAUUUCAUCCCCAAUUGUUUCACUGUAAAAUUGUUUCAGUCGGAGUCUUCAGUGGUGUUAUAACUUUUCUUUUUCCUCUUAUGUGAUUUGUCUUGUACAGAGAAGACAGAAAACCAGUCCAGACCAGAUACCAGCUGAGGGGGCAGCAUACCUUACAAGCCAUCUUUAAAAAAUAACGUAAGUUUUUCCCAUGCCAUAUUUUUUUUGUUGUUUUGAUCAAAAUUACUUCACUGUAAAUAUUAUUUUAAAAUUGUCUUCACUUGUUAACUUCUUUUGUCGCCCACAUUAUUUGUCCUUUACAGAAAGGAAACAAGUCUAGACCAGACUGGAGGUGUAUAGAUGAUGUCUGAAAUCAGCGUGUUCGUUUUUGUGGUCAGUUGGACUGGAACAUGAAGCUGUGGUGGCCUCACUGUGAAGCUCUCAUCGCCUACCUGAUGACCUACAGUCACACUAAGAGACCAGAGCUGCUGGAGAGAUUCUCUCAGGUGUAUGAGUACACCUUCAGUCACGUGAGUUAUUACUGAGGGAAACGUACCCGAGGAAAAAUCUCAUGCUACACCUCUGAAGUGUUAAAUGUCAACAAACGACCGUCAUGAUGACUUGUAACUUAUGAAGCCUCACUUAAGAAGCACUGAAAUAUUCCUUUAAUGUUCAUAUUGUAGAAACAUUGGGUAGAAUAGAAAAGAAAAGAAGUUGUAGAGAAGAAAAAAGAUGUUAAAAUAGACGAAAAAGAGAUGCCAAAAAUAGAAUAGCAGAGACUAGUAAUGGGAGUGUGCUACAUAACCGUGCAAGAUUAACGAAGACAGGGCCCAUAUCUUCUUAACGGUAAGACAAUGUGUAAAUUAGUGACUAAUGUGAACGUCUAGCUCAAAAAGGAUAGUCGAAUUCGGGGCGUGGAAAGAAAAAGUGAGGAGUAAAACCCGGAGCCCAGGGUAAUUGGCAAAUAAAUGAUGAAAAGAGAUAAAGAGUAAAAGAGACAAAGUGAAAAAGAGAAAAAGGCUGAGAUGGCCCAGGAAUAGAGAAGAAAAAGGCUGAGAUGGCCGAAAAAGAGAAAAAGUUAACUUAAUGUUAGGGACGACGCGAUUGGGCAUACAAACCGGUGAGGACAGUUUAAAGAAGGAAAAAAGGCCUAUAUACUAUAGUAAGGAAACACUGAGCUCAGUGAGAAGAGGUGUGCUGAAAUUUGAGUGCGUGAGAGAAGCUUCUGGUGUGUGUGUGUGCGUGCGUGCGUGCGUGCGUGCGUGCGUGCGUGCGUGCGUGCGUGCGUGCGUGCGUGCGUGCGUGCGUGCGCGCGCGUGUGUGUGUGUGUGUGUGUACACAAAGUUGGGGAAUGAUCUAGCAUAGGUUUAAGUGAUUAACUUAUGAUAAAGUGAUAAAUGAUGUCUUAUUAAAUAUAUAAUGAUAUGAUAUAAGAAAUUACCGUAUAAGGGAAGAGAUACUGUUGCCUUUGUAGUGCUAAAAAAAACAUAUGAGCCCUGGUUUCUUUGUACAGGGACGUUAAUAGAAUAGGUAACUGCUAUGAGCCUCUCAGGAUAAAGAGGACGUUUGUACACCUAAUAGUAAGAAAUGAGCCCCUUAUUAGAUGAGGAGGACUUUGGAUGGUGAUAACAUGCUCGAUUAAAAUGACAAUUAAAGAAGUGUACACAAGCACAUUUUUGUUCAUACAGAUACAGGAAAAAACAGAGUGAAAGAUUGGAAUGAUUUGCUGACUGAUGGGUGUGGUUUCCCUCUGUGUGUGUGUGAAUAUUUAAAGUGAAUGGUCACUUGCUGAUGAUCAUGUUUAGAGGGAAGUCCUAGUUAAAAAUUGGAAAAAUCCAGGAAGCUUUUCCUCCCUCUUUCUUUCUCUUCUUACAGGCCUGAGAACAGAAAGAAAGCUAAAAAAUCUAGUUUAACUAUCCUAGUUGCGUGAAAAUUUUAAAUGAUAUACCAUGAUAAGGGGAUUGGGGUAUAAUAAAUUUAGGUAGUCUUAUGGUAGAAGAAAUCUUUAAAUAGUGGUAGUAAACGUUUUAAAUUGUAUUGAAUGAAGUGAUUGUAAUGUACUAAACAUUUGAUUUGUCUUUUGUCCCUAACUCUGAUGCAUGAGCGGGGAGAGGAGAAUGAAAGGAGUCUGACGUUGGAGCUCCCAUGAGACAGAUAAGAAGAUAAAUGGCUGUGCUGCAAACAAGAGAGGGCUUGCGGAUGAGAGGCUCACCAGGUCCUGCUCCCAUUUGACAGGCCAGUACAGUUUUGUCUACAAACUCUUCUCCGAUGUGUCUGCUGCUACUUAGUUGUACAUACACACAUUAAUAGUGGGAACACAUUUAGUUGGGUGUUUAUAUUUGUUAGUGCUAGACAAUAAGAGCAGUAGUUUUGUUGGUAAAAAGAAAGGCUUGGCAAUAGAAAUAUUGCAUAACCAGAUUUAUUAACCCAGUCUGUUAAUGUUCACUUUUAAUUCAUAGAUGAUUGAACCAAAAAAAUAGUAAUUUACUUUUUUAUCUUUGGAUUUACUGAGAAAACUGUUCUGCUCACAGCUGUGGUCAAUUUACUCAUGUUGUAUUUUAUUUGUCAUUUCAUUUUAGAGAGGAGAUGAAACCAGACCAGAUGAUAGCAGACCAGACCAGAGAGGAGCUGAGGGGGCAGCCUGCAUCACAAACUAUCUUCAAAAGAAAGGUAAAUUUUUUUUUUUUAAAUUCCUCCUUAUUUACUGGUAACUGUUACAUUAUUUUACAAGUAUCUGAAAAUUUUAAUUAACCUUCCCUUUUUUUCUCUCCAAGUUAUUUGUCUGUUAUAGAAAUGAAACAAGCCUAGACCAAACUGGAGAAGACCAGAGUGGACCAGAUGAUAGCAGACCAGACCAGAGAGGAGCUGAGGGGACAGCCUGCAUCGCAAACCAUCUUUAAAAAAAAGAUACAUUAACUUUAUUCUAAUAUAUUAUUCUAAUUCAUUUCCGGAUGUAUUUUUAAAUUUAGGAUUCAAAUGUUAGUAUUUAAGGUUAAGUAAUGCUUCUACUAUUACAAUUACUUAUACUUUUACUCUGGAAUUUAUUUGUGUGUCAUAUAGUGGAGAAGACAGAAACCAGACUAGACCAGAGACCAAGACUGGAGAACAGAGUGGAGACCAGAUGAGUCCAGACCAGAGAAGAGCUGAGGGGGCAGCCGACAUCGCGAACUGACAAAAAAAAAAAAAGAUAAAUAUAUUUUAUCCUUAAUUUCAAUCACAAUUGUUUUACUGUACAAUUGUUUCAGUUGGAGUCUUCAGUGGUGUUAUAACUUUUCUUUUUCCUCUUAUGUGAUUUGUCUUGUACAGAGAAGACAGAAAACCAGUCCAGACCAGAUACCAGCUGAGGGGGCAGCAUACCUUACAAGCCAUCUUUAAAAAAUAACGUAAGUUUUUCCCAUGCCAUAUUUUUUUUUUGUUUUGAUCAAAAUUACUUCACUGUAAAUAUUAUUAUUUCAAAAUUGUCUUCACUUGUUAACUUCUUUUGUCUCCCACAUUAUUUGUCCUUUACAGAAAGGAAACAAGUCUAGACCAGACUGGAGGUGUAUAGAUAAUGUCUGAAACCAGCGUGUUCGUUUUUGUGGUCAGUUGGAGUGGAACAUGAAGCUGUGGUGGCCUCACUGUGAAGCUCUCAUCACCUACCUGAUGACCUACAGUCACACUAAGAGACCAGAGCUGCUGGAGAGAUUCUCUCAGGUGUAUGAGUACACCUUCAGUCACGUGAGUUAUUACUGAGGGAAACGUACCCGAGGAAAAAUCUCAUGCUACACCUCUGAAGUGUUAAAUGUCAACAAAUGACCGUCACGAUGACUUGUAACUUAUGAAGCCUCACUUAAGAAGCACUGAAAUAUUCCUUUAAUGUUCAUAUUGUAGAAACAUUGGGUAGAAUAGAAAAGAAAAGAAGUUGUAGAGAAGAAAAAAGAUGUUAAAAUAGACGAAAAAGAGAUGCCAAAAAUAGAAUAGCAGAGACUAGUAAUGGGAGUGUGCUAAAUAACCGUGCAAGAUUAACGAAGACAGGGCCCAUAUCUUCUUAACGGUAAGACAAUGUGUAAAUUAGUGACUACUGUGAACGUCUAGCUCAAAAAGGAUAGUCGAAUUCGGGGCGUGGAAAGAAAAAGUGAGGAGUAAAACCCGGAGCCCAAGAUAAUUGGCAAAUAAAUGAUGAAAAGAGAUAAAGAGUAAAAGAGACAAAGUGAAAAAGAGAAAAAGGCUGAGAUGGCCAAAAAAGAGAAAAAGUUAACUUAAUGUUAGGGACGACGCGAUUGGGCAUACAAACCGAUAAGGACAGUUUAAAGAAGAAAAAAAGGCCUAUAUACUAUAGUAAGGAAACAUUGAGCUCAGUGAGAAGAGGUGUGCUGAAAUUUGAGUGUGUGAGAGAAGCUUCUGGUGUGUGUGUGUGUGUGUGUGUGUGUGUGUGUGUGUGUGUGUGUGUGUGUGUGUGUGUGUGUGUGUGUGUGUGUGUGUGUGUGUGUGUGUGUGUGUGUGUGUGUGGGUGCUGAGCUGUGAGUGUGAGUGCAAAAGAGUCUGUGUGCAGUGAGUGGUGUGUACACAAAGUUGGGGAAUGAUCUAGCAUAGGUUUAAGUGAUUAACUUAUGAUAAAGUGAUAAAUGAUGUCUUAUUAAAUAUAUAAUGAUAUGAUAUAAGAAAUUAACAUAUAAGGGAAGAGAUACUGUUGCCUUUGUAGUGCUAAAAAAAACAUAUGAGCCCUGGUUUCUUUGUACAGGGACGUUAAUAGAAUAAGUAACUGCUAUGAGCCUCUCAGGAUAAAGAGGACGUUUGUACAGCUAAUAGUAAGAAAUUAGCCCCUUAUUAGAUGAGGAGGACUUUGGAUGGUGAUAACAUCCUUGACUCAUAUUGCAAUUAAAGAAGUGUACACAAGCACAUUUGUGUUCAUACAGAUACAGGAAAAAAACAGAGUAAAAGAUUGGAAUGAUUGCUGACUGAUGGGUGUGGUUUUCCUCUGUGUGUGUGUGUGUGAAUGUUUAAAGUGAAUGGUCACUUGCUGAUGCUCAUGUUUAGAGGGAAGUCCUAGUUAAAAAUUGGAAAACUCCAGGGAGCUUUCUCUCCCUCUUUCUUUCUCUUCUUACAGGCCUGAGAACAGAAAGAAAGCUAAAAAAUCUAGUUUAACUAUCCUAGUUGCGUGAAAAUUUUAAAUGAUAUACCAUGAUCAGGGGAUUGGGGUAUAAUAAAUUUAGGUAGUCUUAUGGUAGAAGAAAUCUUUAAAUAGUGGUAGUAAACGUUUUAAAUUGUAUUGAAUGAAGUGAUUGUAAUGUACUAAACAUUUGAUUUGUUCUUUGUCCCUAACUCUGAUGCAUGAGAGGGGAGAGGAGAAUGAAAGGAGUCUGACGUUGGAGCGCCCAUGAGACAGAUAAGAAGAUAAAUGGCUGUGCUGCAAACAAGAGAGGGCUUGCGGAUGAGAGGCUCACCAGGUCCUGCUCCCAUUUGACAGGCCAGUACAGUUUUGUCUACAAACU
rnacentral:lncRNA from 1 species